GUCGUCUGUUUAUGUGGUUCAUAAGUGUUUCUCCUUUUUAUAUAGAUUAUACCGUUGGUUUUCCAGUUUGAAUGGUCUAACACUUGUAAUUUUUGGAGCCCUUUAUAGCUUGCUGUUCCGUGUGAGCCAAAAUCAGUUAAAUUAAAUAAUCAAUAAAAAGAUAAGUUCAAAAUCAAAAAUAAUUUUAUUGCCUGCAUUGCAUUCAAGAUUAUAUUAACAUUAAAGAGACAUACUUUCUCAUAAUUCAAAAAAACAAACAUUAAUCAAAUUACAAACUAUGUGUAACAAAAAUAUCCUUCAUUCAUCCUAUCCAUGGCUCCUAAUAUAACAUACAAAUGUAGGAGAACAAGGGAUUGAAUCUCUCUAUAACAAAAUCUCUGGUUAUUUGGAAAACAUUUAUUUAGGGUGUUGAACAAAACCAAAUGGGAUACCCAUUUAAACAAUUUACAUUAUUUAAAUUAAAAUUUGACUGGCUUUAAGAAAUAACAAAUAUGAUUAUCUAAUUUGAUUAUGUGCUUGUAAACAAACUAAUUACGGUAACUAAAAUUUCCUCCCAAUUACUUUUAAUAAUGUUUAAUAUUUUGUUAAACUUUAACAUGCCAAAGUAGUAAAAAUAUUGUAAAAAUAUGAGACAUUGCCAUCCACUAUUCAGAAAAAAAAGUUAUUUUUCAAUGUUAUUUUUAGUCUAAAAAAUCCUAUUUCAAGAAUUUUACUCUGAAAGUAUAAAAUAUGGUAAGCACUGCAAUAUAUAUAUAUAUAAUAAAGAUCUAUAACCCCAUACAAAUUUACAAACAUUUAUAAAUCCACAUUCCUAGUUGUAAGUUUUAUCUAAACUAUAGUAAAAAUACUAUGACCAUUAUACAUGUACACCUUAACAUACAAUUACAUUUUUAGAAUAUAAUUCACUUUCCUAGGAACUGAUUUUAUAACAUCACAAAAUAGUGUUAUGGAAGACCUUUGGUUUAAUGGACAACUAUGGUAUAAUAAGUAGCACUAUAAAUGAUAAAUACAUGUAUACCAUACUUUUUUAUGCAUGGUCUAUAUGUUCAAAAGCAAAAUAUAAAAUGUUGCAAAAUAAUUUUUCUCUCUCACUUUUUUCAUCAAUAAACAAGAAUGUGUCCUCAGUACACGAAUGCCCCACUCGCACUAUCAUUUUUUAUGUUCAGUGGACCGUGAAAUUGGGGUAAAAUCUCUAAUUUGGCAUUCAAAUUAGAAAGAUCAUAUCAUAGGGAACAAUUGUACCAAGUUUGAAGUCGAUUGGACUUCAACUUCAUCAAAAACUACCUCGACCAAAAACUUUAACCUGAAGCGGGACAGACGGACGAACGAACGAACGGACGCACAGACCAGAAAACAUAAUGCCCCUCUACUAUCGUAGGUGGGGCAUAAAAAUAUCAAUUGUAAUAUAUGAUGAGUUCCAAUACUUCCAGUAUAUAAAAUGUAGUAUAAAUAAACUGUUGAUGUAGAUUUGUCUCUACUGUUGGCAGAAUAUUCAGAAGAAGACAAUCUAAUAGACAGUAAUAUUGCUAAUUUAUUCAAAUUCACUGGACCAAGACAAGGGGACAGGGUCUCAAAAUGGUCAACAAACUUAGAUUUAAUGAUAAGAUAUAAAAUUUAAAGAAAAAGUCAUUGAUCAAUUUCUAAAAAUUCCUAUCAAACUAACUUAAGCCGAAAAACUUCACUGAAAAUUGCUUAUUAAUUUAAAUCACUGGACCAUGACCUUUGAUGGCAAGGCCUUCACAUAGUUGUCAAACUGAUAUGACCUAAUAUAUGGCAAAUUUAUAGAAAAUAUAAUCUCACAAACAGUUCCUUUCAAACUGACUGAAGAAGAUAAGUUAACUAUUGCUGAUGCUGUCAAAAAGCACCACCUACUUUUUGCCUUUUGUGACUCUUGUCACAGACCAGAUAUAAUUUUCCAAUAGAAUACACACUGUGCAAUUUAGUGAAAUGUCACUUUAGCUAGACUGAUGAAGGAAUUACUGUGAAUCAAAAAUAUUCCUGGUAAUAGAAGGUAUUUGGAUAAUCCCCUAGCAUACUGUAGAAGUGGAAAUUUUUGUGUGGAUUUAUUUCGCAAGAUAAAAUCUUAAAAAUAUUACUUAGCGUAAAUUUUUAAAUUAUCAAAAAAGUAAUCAGUGCAAAUGGGUUUAGCUUUAUAUAUUGCACAAUUAAAUUUCUGUACUUAAUAUAGAAUCUAUUUCAAUGUCAAUCACUCAAGAACAACCCUUCGUUAUAAAAUACUCUACCAAGAUUGAGUUUUUACAGAUGAAAGUUGCAUGGACUGACACAUCAGCACUGUACUGUGGAUUCAUUAAUAUUCGUUGGAUAUCAAUUUUCGUUGGAUAUCAAUUUUCCUGAAUUUCCUGGUUACAGGUGAAUCACAAAUUCAAAUGUUCAACCAAUAUCCUAUUUUCAAUAGUCUUUGUAAACAGAGCUUGGCAAAACCAUGAAAUCAAAUAUCCACGAAUAUGCAAGUUUUCAGCAAUCCACGAAAAUUGAUACCCAUGAAAAUAAGUGAAACCACAGUAAUAUAUAUUACCCAAAGUAUUGAGGCAUUGGCUUAGGUUCCUUUAGAAAAAUUAUCUUUUGAUAACUUAAGGAUGUACUUAGGUGAGGUUAGGUAAAGUUUAAGAAAUUAAGAAAUCAAAAUUGAUACUAUAAGGCCAAUUAAAAUUAAUUGAUAGAUUUUCAUCCCCCCCCCGCCCCUCUGAAAUCGUUCCGCCCCGAUUUUUUUUAUUUUUAGAAAUUUACGAUUUCCGGAUUUUGUUCAUUUCCGUUUCCAGUAACCGUCAAAAAUUUCGUUUCCUUCAAAACUUCCUGUUUCAAAUUCGAUUUUCGUAUUUCUUCGAGUAAUUAAAAUGAUUCUGCAGCUCUUCAUAACAAAACCCUUUACUGAGAAUAGAGAAUGAUUACGAGAAGGGCAUGAAAUAAUCGGGUUACAAAUAAAACGCUGUGUCCAAGAGCGCAAAUCGCGGCAUGCAAAAUUUCGGUGAUUAGAAAACCGGUGAUUUUUUAUUGAUAAAAUCACUUUGUGGCAGGAAUCUUGGACUGUGAAUUAUAUCCAAAGAACAAGAACUGUGAAAUACAUUCGUACAAAAACAUAACUAGAUAAAAUAAAUUGACACAAGCACGAACUUGUUAGGUUUAUGACAGUAUAUUGAGUUAAAAAAUUCGGCAAACAUACACUUAGAUUACUCAAGGAUUUGUAUAGUAAGACUGUACAAAUCC
rnacentral:lncRNA from 1 species